ACGUAGGUGGCGAGCGUUACUCGGAAUUACUAGGCGUAAAGCGUAUGUAGGCGGUUGUAUAAGUCUAUGGUGAAAUUUCCGGGCUCAACUGGGAAGGGACAUAGAGAAUGUAUUGUUUGAGGCUUGGAGGGGGAGACGGAAUUCCUGGUGUAGUGGUGACAGGCGGAGAUAGCAGGAGGAACACCGAUGACGAAGGCGGUCCGGUGGCCGAAUACUGGCGCUGCGGUCCGUCAGCUAGGGUAGCGAACGG
rnacentral:rRNA from 1 species